UAAUUUCUUCCAUUUUU
rnacentral:miRNA from 1 species